rnacentral:rRNA from 1 species
GUUUGAUCAUGGCUCAGGAUGAACGCUGGCGGCGUGCUUAACACAUGCAAGUCGAACGAAGCACUUUAUUUGAUUUCCUUCGGGACUGAUUAUUUUGUGACUGAGUGGCGGACGGGUGAGUAACGCGUGGGUAACCUGCCUUGUACAGGGGGAUAACAGUUGGAAACGGCUGCUAAUACCGCAUAAGCGCACGGCAUCGCAUGAUGCAGUGUGAAAAACUCCGGUGGUAUAAGAUGGACCCGCGUUGGAUUAGCUAGUUGGUGAGGUAACGGCCCACCAAGGCGACGAUCCAUAGCCGACCUGAGAGGGUGACCGGCCACAUUGGGACUGAGACACGGCCCAAACUCCUACGGGAGGCAGCAGUGGGGAAUAUUGCACAAUGGGCGAAAGCCUGAUGCAGCGACGCCGCGUGAGCGAAGAAGUAUUUCGGUAUGUAAAGCUCUAUCAGCAGGGAAGAUAAUGACGGUACCUGACUAAGAAGCACCGGCUAAAUACGUGCCAGCAGCCGCGGUAAUACGUAUGGUGCAAGCGUUAUCCGGAUUUACUGAGUGUAAAGGGAGCGCAGGCGGUGCGGCAAGUCUGAUGUGAAAGCCCGGGGCUCAACCCCGGUACUGCAUUGGAAACUGUCGUACUAGA